UCUAAGGGCAGAGAUGAGGACCUAGGUCACCUCAGGUAGUAUGUAUGAGAGGGCAGAGAUGAGGACCUAGGUCACCUCAGGUAGUAUGUACGAGAGGGCAGAGAUGAGGACCUAGGUCACCUCAGGUAGUAUGUACGAGAGGGCAGAGAUGAGGACCUAGGUCACCUCAGGUAGUAUGUACGAGAGGGCAGAGAUGAGGACCUAGGUCACCUCAGGUAGUAUGUACGAGAGGGCAGAGAUGAGGACCUAGGUCACCUCAGGUAGUAUGUACGAGAGGGCAGAGAUGAGGACCUAGGUCACCUCAGGUAGUAUGUACGAGAGGGCCGAGAUGAGGACCUAGGUCACCUCAGGUAGUAUGUACGAGAGGGCAGAGAUGAGGACCUAGGUCACCUCAGGUAGUAUGUACGAGAGGGCAGAGAUGAGGACCUAGGUCACCUCAGGUAGUAUGUACGAGAGGGCAGAGAUGAGGACCUAGGUCACCUCAGGUAGUAUGUACGAGAGGGCAGAGAUGAGGACUAGGUUACCUCAGGUAGUAUGUAUGAGAGGGCAGAGAUGAGGACUAGGUUACCUCAGGUAGUAUGUACGAGAGGGCAGAGAUGAGGACGUAGGUCACCUCAGGUAGUAUGUACGAGAGGGCAGAGAUGAGGACGUAGGUCACCUCAGGUAGUAUGUACGAGAGGGCAGAGAUGAGGACCUAGGUCACCUCAGGUAGUAUGUACGAGAGGGCAGAGAUGAGGACUAGGUUACCUCAGGUAGUAUGUAUGAGAGGGCCGAGAUGAGGACUAGGUUACCUCAGGUAGUAUGUAUGAGAGGGCCGAGAUGAGGACUAGGUUACCUCAGGUAGUAUGUACGAGAGGGCAGAGAUGAGGACCUAGGUCACCUCAGGUAGUAUGUACGAGAGGGCAGAGAUGAGGACUAGGUUACCUCAGGUAGUAUGUACGAGAGGGCAGAGAUGAGGACCUAGGUCACCUCAGGUAGUAUGUAUGAGAGGGCAGAGAUGAGGACUAGGUUACCUCAGGUAGUAUGUACGAGAGGGCAGAGAUGAGGACGUAGGUCACCUCAGGUAGUAUGUACGAGAGGGCAGAGAUGAGGACUAGAUCACCUCAGGUAGUAUGUACGAGAGGGCAGAGAUGAGGACCUAGGUCACCUCAGGUAGUAUGUAUGAGAGGGCCGAGAUGAGGACUAGGUUACCUCAGGUAGUAUGUACGAGAGGGCAGAGAUGAGGACCUAGGUCACCUCAGGUAGUAUGUACGAGAGGGCAGAGAUGAGGACUAGGUUACCUCAGGUAGUAUGUACGAGAGGGCAGAGAUGAGGACCUAGGUCACCUCAGGUAGUAUGUACGAGAGGGCAGAGAUGAGGACUAGGUUACCUCAGGUAGUAUGUACGAGAGGGCAGAGAUGAGGACUAGGUUACCUCAGGUAGUAUGUAUGAGAGGGCAGAGAUGAGGACUAGGUCACCUCAGGUAGUAUGUACGAGAGGGCAGAGAUGAGGACUAGAUCACCUCAGGUAGUAUGUACGAGAGGGCAGAGAUGAGGACUAGGUCACCUCAGGUAGUAUGUACGAGAGGGCAGAGAUGAGGACUAGGUUACCUCAGGUAGUAUGUAUGAGAGGGCCGAGAUGAGGACUAGGUUACCUCAGGUAGUAUGUACGAGAGGGCAGAGAUUAAGACUAGGUUACCUCAGGUAGUAUGUA